AGUGACUUUAGCCUAUUGGUUAUAAGAGAAAUUACCAGUGCUAGAGGUGUUGGGUUCAAUUACCCUUAACUGCAUUCAUUUAUUUUGGCUCUAAAUAUAAAAUGGGACACGUGUCACUCCCAGAACGCACGAAUUGAUGACGUGGCUUCACGGAAGCGAGGCGAACAUUUCUUUAUAUAUAUAAAUUAUAUAGUACAUACUUAAUAUUAUAAUUACAUGUCACUUACAAACUCAAGAGCAUAUUCGAAACUAAUAUUAUUCUUAGAAAUAAAUUAUUAAUGUGGCAUCUUAUGAAUUUAAUUCAAACGUAACGAUUAGGAAGAAAUCAAGAAAUUAAAAUAAAAUAAGAAACAUCUUCUCUUUAAUUAUUUUCCAGGCAGUAUGUGUCUGUUCAAUUAGCCAUUAGCCAGAUUCCUCAAUGUCCUUACAUCCAUUGAUUUAGAAUCAUUCGCACAACAAAUUCUUCUCGAUUCAAAGGUACGUAGUAGGUGCAUUCAUUUCAACAUGUCACACGUUGUUUUUGUCAUCCAUCAGUCUAUAUCGUAUCACUUCAUCCAUAUUAAACAAAAUAUCUUAGAUGUAUAAACGUGAGUUCCACCUAAGAUUUGCUAAUCAGCUUUAUACAACAAUAAUCCUUCAGUCGUUCUCAAUUAUUUUGUCUUAAAAACAGUUAAUUAAUAUACAAUACAAUAAAAAUGAAAAUACAAUACAAUAUUUUUUAAAAGAAAAUACAAUACAAUUAAAAUGUGAAAUAAUCUGAAUUUUUUUUUACUGAAGAAAAUCUGAAAACAAUAGGAUACAUCAAACUGAAAGUUCAAAACCUAGUGAUUUGUAGACACCAUAUCAUAGUUCAUAUGUAAUUUGAAAAAUAAUUACCAAAUGUGUACAUAAAAAGCCAAUUUGUAGACACCAAUUUGUUUUGUUUUAGUGCUAAAUCUAUACUAUUAAAAUAGGAUUCUAUUAUCUUUUUUACCUUAACCUGUCAUUUUCUUUACUAACAUUGUAUGUUUCAUUAAGGGCAAUCAAGUAAUAUUAAUAACACUUCUAUAUUGGGUCAUUUUUUUCGGAUCCAGCCCAUAUCAGAUCUCUCUUGGGCCAUAUGGGCCGAUUAAGAAAUCAGAUCCAAUUCUCACAUUUUUUUUUCCUUUUGGCCAUUGAGUCUAAGUUCAAAUAAUUUUUUUCAACUAUUCUUAAUUAUUAUUUUUUCUUUUCUUAAUAUAAUUUAAGCAUUCAUAAAAAAAAUUGAUUUUUUUUCAUUGAAAAGUAUAAAUCUUUAUUAAAAGUAUAUAAACUUUUUAUUAAAAUAUUAAUCACAUAAUAGAACUAAUUUAUCAAAGUUAUACCAACUUAAUUCAUUAAAAAAUAAAGUUUAAUUUUUAAACAUAAAUAGUCAUUUAAAAUAAAAUAUGAUAAAUAAAGAUAAAAAGUUUAAGUAUUUUAUAAAAUAAAACACAAAUAUAUGAACAUAUGACAUUUACUAAAUAUUUGUCAAUUGAAAAAAAAUAAUAAUAAUAAACUCGCGCUUUCAAAGCGCGGAUCAAAAUCUAGAUUUCUUUAACAAAUAAACAUAGUUGGUUAAGACUGUAAACUUAAAGAAAAAUUAGGGACCAAAAGAAAACAUGGAGAAAGAUAUGUAUUUCAGUUUUUUCAAAAAAGAAAAGAAAAGAUACGUAUAUCAGUGUGCCAAAACCUUCUUACACUAAAAAAUAAAUGUGAGUUACGUAUCUACAUUUACUCUAUAGCGAGCUUUAACAUGCUUAAUGCUUUUAGCUGACAGGUGUCCGUCCAAAUUAAAAUAGAUUAAUCUUCCUUAUUAAAAUAGAAGUACUAUUUUUAUCUACUAUUUAGAAGUCUACUAAGACCAUUUCAUUAAUCACAUAAUAUGACAUAAUAAUUAAUAGAAAUAUUAAUAAUAAAUUAAUUUUAACUAUAGAUUUGAAUUUUAUUUUCAGUUAUAAUAAAAUUUGUUGAGAAAAUUCUAACAAAAUCCUACUAAAUUUUUAAAUAAUUUUUAUUAAAUUUUGCAUUAAUUAAUUUCGUAAUUAAGUAAUAUAAUGCUUUCGUUUAAAUAAAUUAUCAUCUACCACUAAAACGGGUUCAAAUUGUUAAUCAUGUCAGUUUUUUUUAUACAAAUGAAGUUAUUAACAUAUAUUAAAAAUUUAUUUCUACAGCUAUAUAUUUUUAAAAAUCAUAUGUUAAAGAAUAUUUUUUAUUUGAUUAUUUAAAAUUAUGAAAACUCAAAAACGUAAUAAAAAAGGUAAAAUGUAUAAAACAAACCCAUAUAUUAAUAAAGUAAUAAGAAACCUAAAAAAUAAAUAAAGAGUUAUAAAAUACAUAACAUUAUGAUAUAAAUUGUAUAUUUAAAUUUAUAUAAUAAUAUCAAAAUUAAAUAUUUAUAAAAUAAAAAUAUACCCGCACGAUGUGCAGGAUAAACUCUAGUUUAUUUUUAAAUUUAUUAUAUUUUAGUCCAUAUAACUUUUUAAUUGAAAUGCCCCAAAAUUGAAAUUGUCAAAAUUAACCCUACUUAUAAUUCCACAUUUGAAAAUAACUUAUUAAUAUAUGGUGAUAUAUAAAAUAGAAAUAAUUUUUUAUUAAAUAAUUGUACGAAAAAUCUUAUAAAUAAAAUAGAUUUAGUUAGAGAGAUAUUUUAUUAUUGAUUGAUAUUAAACUAUCAAUUCACCGUAACAAUAUUUAAUACAAUUUUUUUGUAACUAACGGAAAACAACAGAAAAACAGUAUCAAAUUAAAAGUGACUAAACUUCUUAAACUUAAGAAUUCACUUUUUACAUUUUCUUAGUUUAUUUUCGUUGCAAAUGUUGUUAUGCUCUUCUCUUAUUUAAAUAUGAUAUAUCUUUAAAAUUUUGAAUUUAUUUUACUGUUUUAUUAAGUUAACUAUCAAAACUAAUUAAAAAUAUUUAUAUUAUAAUUUUAUUUAAAAAUUAGUGGACUAAUAUAUUAAUCUAUUAAAUGUUUUCACCGUUCACAGAAAAUAUCAGUUUUUAACAAAGGAAACAAAAAGUGAAAGCAUAUCCAGAGAACAUAAAAAAAUAUUAAACCUUUAGUAACACACUUAAUAAGUUACAAAAUCUUACCAAAAGUUUAGUAUAAAUCUUAAUAAGUUAUAACAAAAGUUUUGGUACGACUUUGGAAAGCUUUUGUAAGACUAUUUAACUUAUUAAGAGUUACUAAAGUUUUAAUAUUUGUUUCAUGUUCUCUGCUUUCACUUUUUGUUUUAAUAUUUUUAAUAUUUAGUGAACAAAGCUUAUUGCUUUUUGAAUUAAAGAUUGGACCUUUCGAGCAUUGAAUAUAGGUUUAUAGAUCGUAUAGAGUUAUAGUUACAUCGAGGAGUCACAAUGUGACGGUAUUGGUGGCCACCAUGUGAGCAAGAUCUCAGUUUGAUCUUCGUUUCUUUGCUAAACAACAGACUACAUUUUGUUUUCUAGUACAUAAUCUGGUUUAAGGGUCAAUCUCCUUUAAUUUAUAGCAUUUUCUUUUUGUAAUCGAUACAUGUGUCUUAGUUUCGACAUGAUCUUGUUCAAAGGUCAUCUCCCAUAGCUAAUUAACAUAAGUUCAGGCUUACGCACAAUCUUGUUGAAGGCCAUCUCUCAAAUUCACUAGUGGGUAGUUGCGGAAAAUUGUUAUCUGAGAUCGAGUAUUAAGGAAAACGAGACAUGACUGAAUCACUGACUUGGCCUAGUUGAUUGUAUCCAUGAGUUUGUGUACCCUGUGAAGCAUCAUCACUACUUUUUGAUUUUCUGUUUGUGGAUUUAUUUUUCAUCUCUUUUGAAACCCUUUUAUUUGGUCGUUUCUUUAGAAACUGAAGACGCGUGUGAUCAAUAGUAACUGUAAUCCAGUGUGGAACGAACAACUGACCCUUUCCAUUAAAGAUCUGGAUGAUCCAAUCCGUCUGAUAAAGACUGAUUCUCGGGAGAUGAAUGGGUGAUGUGGAAAUAGACAUAAGUCCUUUCUUAGAAGCCCAUCAGAUGGAGUUAAGAUUUACAGAAGCUCCCCAAUGGUUGUGCAAUCAAGAGGAUCCGUCCAGGAAGGACCAACUGUUUGGCUGAAGAGAGCAGCAUCAAUUGGAACAAUGGGAAGGUCAAACAAGACAUGAUUCUUAGACUAAAGAAUGGAGAGCGUGGAGAAAUGGAGAUCAUGCUCGAGUGGACUGAUGGUCCAGGCUACAAGGAUCUCAUGAUCCAAGAAGACACCAUGGAUGCAACUAAACGAUUGGACUAAGGUGCAGAAAUGUUCAAGAGAGACCGUGAAGAUGUGGUUGUUAUUUUCUUCUUCUCCUCAUGGAAAGACAAGUUUGCCUUUAUUUCUGCUUUGGUCUUUAGCUGUACAUGUUGAAUAUAAAACAACCCGUUAUAUAUGUACAUUUGUAUAUGUUUCUACUAUUGAAAAAUUGAAGCAAACUUUCUAGAAACUCUUCAAGUUUUUCUUAGUUUCUGCUAAUGAAUAUGUAUAUAUAUAUAUUGCUGGACGAAGCACAAAAAGGUCAACGAUGUUGACUUUCAUCCACUGUCAAGAUAGGAGAUGCACAGAUAGACAUCAAGCCGUUCCCUUAAGAUUCACAAAUUGGGUUGGCAUGGAAAUGAGAUCAAGACAGUCUAAAGAGAGCAAAAUCGUCUACCAUAUUGGCAAUAUCAUUCAUGACAUUGAUUCUUUUGUCGAGGAACGUUGAAUGUGGUGGUAAAGAACUCUGAGAGACAGAGAUUGACGUAUUCUGAUGAUUCAUAUAUCAUGAUAACUUCUCAUUUACCGUAUACAAGAAACGGUCUCAAGUUCUUUACCAAGAGAGGAGGAUUAACGUUUUCUGAAGUGGAGAAGAUACUAUGUGAUUUAGCUGCAUUAAAGUACGCAAAUAGACAGUCUAAAGUCGCGCUUACUCUAAGCACCUUAGAUAAACUAUUUAAGAGAGAAUCAAUCACUAUGAUACUCCUCUCAAAGGAAUUAAGGCAAGAGUCUAGCUUUAUAAGAUCUCCCUGCUUUAAUGUUUCUAUACAUAUUAUAACAUUCUUUUUUUUUGUUGGUGUAUGUUAUUAGAUAGUAGUGAAUGCUGGUAAUGGGUCAGGAGGGUUCUUUACGUGGGACGUUCUAGAAAAGUUAGGAUCCGAAACAUUCUGUUCACUCUAUCUUAAUCCAGAUGGGAUGUUUCCUAUCGAUUGAUUAGUUUAUGCGACUUAUAAUAAUUAGUACGGAUAUAGGAAUUACAGUAGUGACGAAUGCAAUAACGAGUAUGGGGCUCACUAGGUUUAUAACGGAGAGAGGAGGGAGACAUUGUUUGUACAGAGUAGGGUAUAGAAACGUGAUCGACAAGGGAGUAGAGUUGAACAGAGAGGGCAUCGAGACACAUCUCAUGAGUCAUUAUGGAGACUUCAAGACAUGGUGCUGUUAAAGAGAACCACUACUUGGAUGAUGGUUAGUUAAUUAUGAUGUAGGCCAGAAUGGUUUAUUUGCAUGUGUGUUCCACGUAAACGCAAAUAAACAAUCAUGGAUCAAAUCCUCUUUUGUUCUUAUGGGUUUAUGUUGAUAUAUGGUUAUUAAAUUAUAAUCUUCUAAUGUUUUUAGCUGCAUACAUAGUGGUGAAAAUUAUGAUUGAAAUGGUGAGAAUGAGACUUGCCGGAUCAAAUGAAUGUAUAGAUAGUCUGAUCAAAGAUCUUGAGGAGCCGUUAGAAGCGCUUGGGCUGCGGAUGAAUAUUUUGUCAGAGCCAAGAGAUGCAAUAGAAAAAGGCAUUGAAGCUAUUGCGACAUUCAGUCAAUAUAUCGAGGUAUCAUAGCUUUAUUAGUAAUCCGAUUAGUUGUGGUCCUUGUGGAUGUAGCUUUAAAUUUCAGAAUUAUAAUUUAAAUGGUUAUUAGGAAGGAAAACUAAAAGGAUGGGAACUAGACUCUUGUGGAGAAUGUUGGGUAAUUGAAGGUUGCAUAGUGGACUCAAAUGAUCAUCAAUCUGCCAUUGAUGCUCACAUGUACAGGUAAUUUAUUUUGUUUACAGAUUCUUUAUAUCAUAUGAUGAUAUUAGAAAUUCAACUUAUUAAUUUACAUAAAUAAUAAUUCAGGGUAAAGGUGAGGGAUGAAGAUUGAAGAGUGGGGAAUAGUAUGGGUGGGUGCACCGUGCACAUAAGGCAGAGCAUUCAUAUCCCUAACAUUGUUCUUAGUAUGCAAUCAAUGCUUUCUGGUGGAUGUCUCUUCAUGACAAGACUCUUCAGAGACUUGUAACUUUUUCAUUCUUCAUAAUUCUAAUAACUAAGUCUUACUCCGAAUAUGAAAUUUUGAAGAACUUAAUGUUCAAAUGUUUUUUUUGUUGUUGUUGACAACGUUAGAGUAGAUUUACGUUUGCGCGAUUCAGGUUUUUGGAAUCUGUUGGGAUGGCUAGAUUCUUGGAUAUAAGGGAUUUCAGACAAUUACAUUGCAAGUCAACCUUGAAGACUUUUCAGGUAAAUUGAACUUGUGAUGUUAACUACAUGCAAAUAAAUCGUUGUUGUCUACAUUAGAGAAAAGUACAGAUACAUCACUCUUGCAUGUUAGCUACAUGCAAGUCUUUGAAGUCUUCACAAUGGUUUAUUGAUCAAGAAGAGAAUUAAAUAGAGUUAACGUUUUAGAAGUCCACGUUAUUUUUUAAUUAAUGAAAUUAAGCUUGUGAUGUUAACUACAUAAUUUUAUUAAAUUGAGAGAUGUUGCCAUGAAUAACAUAUACUUUAUGUAAUUAAGCAUACACUAGUUUAGUAUGAAUAGUUAGCCAUGUGAUGGUCAAUACUUCAAGUAACCACCAAUCAUUUUUUCUAUUUAAAUUUUAAUUAGAAAUUUAAAAUUUGGCAUCUUAUUAGAUUUCAAAGCUCUGCCUUUAUUCAAGGGACAAUAAAGUAUAAAAAAACUGUUUUUGUUAUUACAUAAUUUUAAAUUUUUAUUCUAUAAUCUCUAUAAAUUUUCAAGAAAUAUUAUUUUUUUUAAUUUUAAAUUUAUUUUGAUCGUAUUGUAAACAUUCACUUAACUUAUGUAAAGCAUCUAAAAAAACUCUAUUUUGAAGUUUCCAAUACUCUAUAUUUGAAAUUUAAAUGUGUUCUCCAAAAGCAAAACUUCAAAAUUAACUUCAAAACUAUUUGUCUUUUACACUAUAGUCCUUAUAUUUGUCAUAAUAAAUUUAAAUUCAUAAAAAAAUUGUAAAUAACUAGCACGUAUAUAAAAUUACAACAACAAUAUUAAUUGAUAAAAUAUUACACUAAAAUAGAAAAUUUUAAAUAGAAAUACAUAAUUAAUAAUAAAUUUCAAAAAAAAUACCAUAUUAUCCAUAAAAUUAUUUCUGUAAUGCAAUUCGAAGUGAAAAUGACUUUUUUUUUUAUUUUUAAUUUGUAGAUUACGAACUAAAAAAUAGUGAAAUCGAGUGAUAUUAAUACUUGUAAAUACAUUAGAUCUGAACAAGAAAGUAAAAUAGGAAAAAAAUAUUGUUAAAAGACUUAACUAGUUAUUUAACAAUUAUUCACGUGAAUACAUUCGAUCUGAAUAAGAAUGAUUUAUACGGAAAAGACAUCAACUAACAACAACAAACAUUUUCGGUUACAAAAAAAAUUGUUUGAACAAUAUUUUGGAGGUUUCAGGUCAAAUUACAUGAAUAUUAGUGUUGAUGUAAUAUUAAGAUUUGUGUAAUAGUUAUGUCUUCAUGUAAUUUUUAAUGCUUGUUUUUGUAAGUUUCUUUUAUAUAAUGUUGUUUUCUAAAUUUAGUUUUAAAAUAUUUUAAAUAUUAUUCUAAAGUUUUAUUUAAUUUUAAUUGUAAAACUUAAAUUUAUAAAAAAAAAUGAAAAAUUUAUGAGAUAUAAAAUUUUUAAAGAUUAAAAAGAUAAACAAAAAAAAUAUUUAAAAAUCAUAAAUGUGAUGUGUAACUGUCGGGACCAAAAUGUAAACAAAUAUGAAACGUCAAUUGAAGUUUUGAAGUUUUUUUUUCAUAGAGCAAAAAACUUCAUAUUUGAAGUUAUAAAAUGUAUUUUAAAGAAGUAGAGAAAUUUCUUUUUGAUUUUUAUUUUCCUUCCUUUUCCUAUUUAUUAUAUUAUCCUCUUGUUACCCGUAAAAUCUACGGGUAACAAGAGGAUAAUAUAAUAAGUCGCAGGAGGAGUUCGAGAGAGAGAUGAGAAAACUCGGCAAACUGAUGCAUAAGAAUAUCAUUGAGAUCAAAGGGUACUACUGGACGCAAUCUCUGCAGCUCCUGAGCUAUGAGUUUGUCUCAGGGGAAGCUUAUACAGACAUCUCCAUGGGGACGAGUGCGUUUGCUUGACUUGGCGUGAAUGAUUCAGCAUCAUUCUUGGGAUAGCGAUAGGUCUUGCUUAUCUGCACAGGAGUAACAUCGCUCACUACAAUCUGAAAGCAACGAACGUGCUCAUAGACGCAGCUACAUGAGAGACCAAAGUCGCUGACUUUGGGUUGGCUAGGCUAUUUGCCUCGGCGCUGGACAGGUGUGUCUUGAGUGGAAAGGUAAAGAGCACGUUGGGGUACACAGCCCUGAAGUUUGCAUGCCGGACGGUCAAGAUAACAGAGAAGUGCGAUGUGUACGGGUUUGGGAUCUUGGUGCUGGAGGUGGUAACGGGGAAGAGGCCGGUGGAGUAUGCGGAGGACGAUGUGAUGGUGCUGAGUGAGACGGUGAGAGAGGGGUUAGAGAAAGGGAGAGUGGAGGAAUUCGUUGACGGUAGGCUGAGAGCGAACUUUCCGGCGGAGGAGGCAAUACCAGUGCUAAAACUAGGGUUGGUAUGUGGGUCCUAAGUGCCCUCGAAUAGGCCGGAGAUGGAAGAAGUGGUGAAGAUAGUAGAGCUCAUACAGUGUCCCUCUCAGGAGUUUGACUGACGAUGACAAAAUGGAACAAUAUUUCUUUAUUCCUUCUUGAGUUUUCAUAUAUAUAAAAGUUCCAUCUUCUUCUAAAGAAAGGUUUUGUUUUAUUAUGAGUUUAUCAUGCUAGCUGAGCUCAGUUCAAGGAAUCUUUCACACUUGGGUGGUUUCAUUGUAAUCAAAAUGUUGAAGGUUGUUUUUGGUUCAUAAAGUAGAUCAAAAUGUUUGAGGUUUCUCUGUUUGUUAUGCCCUUUCUAUCAUUCCCACAUUUUUAUUUGAAUCUUUGAACAUACAUUAACAUAUUCAGAAGAUGAGGAAAAUAAGCGUAAUGGAGAAUACAUAGUACAUUUGAAAAUCUUGAUUUCGAAGGGAUGUACAGUCGGUCAGCAAAAUGAUAAAGCAAAAAUAAAAGGGAAAUAGAGAAAUCCACCACCACCACCAUUGUGAAGUGAGAGACCCCAAGGUCCAAAGCUUAAAUUCCAAGCAUAAGCUUUUUCUGUAAUGCUUUCAUUAUGUUUCGAGAGCUCCCACACACGUACUCAUUUCUUUUCACCUUUUUUUUGUGACGCUCUUCUUUUCACCUUUAUUAUAGAUAAAUAAUUUACGGUUAUGAUGAAGUGCUCACUUAGCGAAUGAAUGCUAUAAAAUAUAGUACUCAUUUUCAUUUUAACACAGACUGCUGCAAGUAAGUGUUAUAAACUUAUAAUCUAAAGUAAGUUUUCCGAGCAAUUUUUCAUAUUAAAUAAGUUCAAACUAAUAUGAACAUUAUUUAUUUUACACUAUUACUUAAAAUAUUUCUGAAUUAAAAGAAAACUUUUCCACUUUGAUUAUAUGUUUUUUUCUUAACACUUUAACUAUAUGUUUGUUUUCAAAUAAUAUAUAUUCUUCUUCGUAUACUUCCAAAUAGUUACUCGAAAUUUGCAUUUGUCAAAAAUUUAACAAUAUAUGAUGUACACAGUACAAAUCCAAAUGAUUAAGAAGUAUAUAGUUAAGUUUCAAGGGCGUUAACACUUAAAAAUAAAAACUCUCACCUUUAAGUAAACGGCAACGAUACGAAUUGAAAUACCUUAAAUAUUUUUUGUGAGAUCAUAGAUCUAAGUGUUAAAUUAUAAUAUAAAAAUCUUAUAAUAUUAAAAAUGUUAUAAAAUUAACAAAUAUUACGUGUGAAACGCGAAAAAUGAGUUAUCAAAACAUAUAACAUAUACAAAUGCAUAAUUAUAAUAUUAAAAAU